rnacentral:rRNA from 1 species
AUUGAACGCUGGCGGCAUGCCUUACACAUGCAAGUCGAACGGCAGCGGGGGAGAAGCUUGCUUUUCCUGCCGGCGAGUGGCGAACGGGUGAGUAAUACAUCGGAACGUGCCCUGUAGUGGGGGAUAACUAGUCGAAAGAUUAGCUAAUACCGCAUACGACCUGAGGGUGAAAGUGGGGGACCGCAAGGCCCCAUGCUAUAGGAGCGGCCGAUGUCUGAUUAGCUAGUUGGUGGGGUAAAGGCCUACCAAGGCGACGAUCAGUAGCUGGUCUGAGAGGACGAUCAGCCACACUGGGACUGAGACACGGCCCAGACUCCUACGGGAGGCAGCAGUGGGGAAUUUUGGACAAUGGGCGAAAGCCUGAUCCAGCAAUGCCGCGUGUGUGAAGAAGGCCUUCGGGUUGUAAAGCACUUUUGUCCGGAAAGAAAUGGCUCUGGUUAAUACCUGGGGUUGAUGACGGUACCGUAAGAGUAAGGACCGGCUAACUACGUGCCAGCCGCCGCGGUAAGAC